rnacentral:rRNA from 1 species
CUUUCCUUGACGACGACUGGCGCACGGGUGAGUAACGCGUAUCCAACCUUCCCAUGACCACGGGAUAACCCGUUGAAAGACGGCCUAAUACCGUAUGACGUCGUUUGCCGACAUCGAAAGACGACCAAAGGUUUGGCGGUGAUGGAUGGGGAUGCGUCUGAUUAGCUUGUUGGCGGGGUAACGGCCCACCAAGGCGACGAUCAGUAGGGGUUCUGAGAGGAAGGUCCCCCACAUUGGAACUGAGACACGGUCCAAACUCCUACGGGAGGCAGCAGCC